rnacentral:lncRNA from 1 species
UUUAGGGGUUUAUUUUUUAUAUUGAGUUCACACUAGAUUACAGGUCUGGAAAAAUGCUUUUCAUUUAAUAUAGCACAUUUAUCUUUUAUGGCUAUAUACACAUUUUUUUCAACAGUUGCAUAUAAUUCUAUUGAAUGAAUUCAGCGUAAUUAACUUACCCCUUUGCCCAUGACCAUAAAUUGCUAAGAGUUUAUCAUUAAAAAUGUUUCCCAUUAUACAUUUACCUACCUUUGUACACUUUGGUUCUGAGGAAUAUUGAUUCAAAUGGUCUAUAUCUAUAUAGCAAUUUAUAUAAUGGGAAAUGGAUU